rnacentral:pre_miRNA from 1 species
AGGAGGAACAACCGCAGUGGCGGGGCCAGCUCUGCAGCCCUGGAUUCCGCCCCCGCAGUAGCUCUUGAGUUCUCCGUCUGCAGGGCCUGGAGGCUCCCGGGCGGG